GAUGAACGCUGGCGGCGUGCCUAAUACAUGCAAGUCGAGCGAACAGACGAUGAGCUUGCUCCUCUGACGUUAGCGGCGGACGGGUGAGUAACACGUGGAUAACCUACCUAUAAGACUGGGAUAACUUCGGGAAACCGGAGCUAAUACCGGAUAACAUGUUGAACCGCAUGGUUCAACAGUGAAAGACGGUCUUGCUGUCACUUAUAGAUGGAUCCGCGUCGCAUUAGCUAGUUGGUAAGGUAACGGCUUACCAAGGCAACGAUGCGUAGCCGACCUGAGAGGGUGGUCGGCCACACUGGAACUGAGACACGGUCCAGACUCCUACGGGAGGCAGCAGUAGGGAAUCUUCCGCAAUGGGCGAAAGCCUGACGGAGCAAUGCCGCGUGAGUGAAGAAGGUCUUCGGAUCGUAAAACUCUGUUAUUAGGGAAGAACAACUGUGUAAGUAACUAUGGCCGUCUUGACGGUACCUAAUCAGAAAGCAACGGCUAACUACGUG
rnacentral:rRNA from 1 species